UUUUUAGAUUUAUCACUCAACUAUGAGAAAUUUGACUUUCAAUAUGUAGAUCUGUGCUUUUGUGAUCUUCACCCAACCAAAGGAACAUUCCACUGACAGUCCCAUAGCUGACGUGAAGGACAAAAGGACUCAGUGCACGGACACAGCACAGCCAUUAGAUAACUUGGACAGAGCCUGGAGCUGCUUUGG